CUCUUAAUUUACCAAUUUGUCUUUUAAAUUGAGAUAUGAAAAACCAGCUGAAUGCAAUCAUAAGGUGAAGUAAGCUGUUAAAUUGAGGUAUGAGAAUCCAGGCUUUGUUUUGCCUGUUUGCAGUUUUCUGGGGAUUUGUAACUGAGGUUGUAGUAGCUUA